GUGGCUGCAGGCGGAGCGGCCGGUGCCAGCCCCGUCGCUCGCGUCCGCGCUCCUCCGCCCCGGGGCGGUCGAUGGGACGGAGCGCCGCGGAGAAGGAGGCGGCGCCCGUCGGGGGCUAGGGCGGCGCGGGAGCCUGCCCGGCGGCUUGGGCAUGGAGGGCCGCAGGACCUGAGCCUUGCCCCGCGGGGAGCAGCCCAGUAGCCGGCGAUGGGGACCGAGCGGGGCUGCCGCCUCGCCUGGCCGUGAGUGCCGCGCCUCUGCUGCCGCCUUUUCGCCGCCGCCUCGGCCCCUCUUGAAGCGCCGAGCCGCUCGGGAACAUGGCCCUGGAGCAGCUCUACUCGGUCCUCAAAGUGUUGUUAAUAACAAUACUUGUAGUGGAAGGCAUUGCUGUGGCCCAAAAGACCCCAGAUGGACAAAAUAUUGGAAUGAAGCACAUUCCUGCAACCCAGUGUGGCAUUUGGGUUCGAACCAGCAAUGGAGGUCAUUUCGCUUCACCAAAUUAUCCUGACUCAUAUCCACCAAACAAGGAAUGUAUCUACAUUUUGGAAGCUGCUCCACGUCAAAGAAUAGAGUUGACCUUUGAUGAACAUUAUUAUAUAGAACCAUCAUUUGAAUGUCGGUUUGAUCACUUGGAAGUUCGAGAUGGGCCAUUUGGUUUCUCUCCACUUAUAGAUCGUUACUGUGGUGUGAAAAGUCCCCCAUUGAUUAGAUCAACAGGUAGAUUCAUGUGGAUUAAGUUUAGUUCUGAUGAAGAACUCGAAGGACUGGGAUUUCGAGCAAAAUACUCAUUUAUUCCAGAUCCAGAUUUUACUUACCUAGGAGGUAUUUUAAAUCCCAUCCCAGAUUGCCAGUUCGAGCUGUCAGGAGCUGAUGGAAUAGUGCGUUCUAGUCAGGUAGAACAAGAAGAAAAAACGAAACCUGGUCAAGCAGUUGACUGCAUAUGGACGAUUAAAGCUACCCCAAAAGCUAAGAUUUAUUUGAGGUUCCUUGAUUAUCAGAUGGAGCACUCAAAUGAAUGCAAGAGAAACUUUGUUGCAGUCUAUGAUGGAAGCAGUUCUAUUGAAAAUCUGAAGGCCAAGUUCUGCAGCACUGUGGCCAACGAUGUAAUGCUAAAAACAGGAGUUGGGGUGAUACGGAUGUGGGCAGAUGAAGGUAGUCGGCUUAGCAGGUUCAGAAUGCUCUUUACUUCCUUUGUGGAGCCUCCCUGCACAGGCAGCACUUUCUUUUGCCAUAGCAACAUGUGCAUCAAUAACUCUUUAGUCUGUAAUGGCGUUCAGAACUGUGCGUACCCUUGGGAUGAAAAUCACUGCAAAGAAAAGAAAAAAGCAGGACUAUUUGAACAAAUCACUAAAACUCACGGAACAAUUAUUGGCAUUACGUCAGGAAUUGUCUUGGUCCUUCUCAUUAUUUCUAUUUUAGUGCAAGUGAAGCAGCCUCGAAAAAAGGUCAUGGGUUGCAAAACUGCUUUUAAUAAAACUGGAUUCCAAGAAGUGUUUGAUCCUCCUCAUUAUGAACUGUUUUCACUGAGAGACAAAGAGAUCUCUGCAGACCUGGCCGACCUGUCGGAGGAGCUGGACAACUACCAGAAGACGCGGCGCUCCUCCACUGCCUCCCGGUGCAUCCACGACCACCACUGCGGGUCGCAGGCCCCCAGCGUCAAACAAAGCAGGACCAACCUCAGUUCCAUGGAACUUCCCUUCCGAAAUGAUUUUGCACAACCACAGCCAAUGAAAACAUUUAAUAGCACCUUCAAAAAGAGUAGCUACACUUUCAAACAGGCGCACGAGUGCCCUGAACAGGCCCUAGAAGACAGAGUAAUGGAGGAGAUCCCCUGUGAGAUUUAUGUCAGGGGGCGAGAAGACUCUGCACAAGCAUCCAUAUCCAUCGAUUUCUAAUCUUCUACUGAAGGUGACCCUGAUUAUUAAGUGUGUACGGGCGCAGCCCGCAGAGCACCAUGCUGCUCUCAGCAGCCAGCCCUCUUCUCCUGUCAAAACUGGAAAGACCAUCAUUUCCCAUUAACCUAUUGUAAUGGUGAAGUUUUUAUUAUCUCAGGCAGUCUAUAUAUGUUAACCCAACCGAGGAACUUAACUCCAUUCAGUAAAAAAAAAGCAUCUAUUGUUCAGUGUCACACACACAAAGGCCCAGUCGCACAGCAUGAGGAGGCGCGGCAGCGCUGCCCAGGCUCGAGCUGCCCGCGGGCCUCAGCAAAGGAAGGCGCUUCUGGCAGACACAGCUCUGUCAGUGUGUUGGUCCCAUGAUAAGUUUAAAAGCAAGAUUUUUCUUCGCAUUCCUUUUAUUUUCUCUCCUCUAAAUUUAAAUUGUUUUAGAAACCAGUAAGUUUACCAUUGCAGUUUCUUACAUAAGUAUUAAACAGUUAAUGUAUCACACAUAUUUCAAUAUAGGCAUUGUUCUGGGAUUUGUCAAAAUACUACUAGUUACUGUGGUAAGUGCCAGGUAAGACCCAGAGUUGUGUUUCAUCCAUCUGUUUCUUCUUGACUAGUUUCUUUACUGCUGUCUUUUAAUUACUGGAUCCUUUGUCCUUAUUUUCUGUGAUACGAUUUAGCACCUUUAAGUCAUAUUUUGUCUUAGUAUAUUAUACUAGAAAGUUUCAUAAUCCUGGGAUGUAGGCACCAUUGCCAGUUAUGACUAAAACUUGAAAAAGAUUAAAACUUUUAGAAAUUCUUUGAAAUUUCCCAAAUUUCAUCACAUUCAGCAAUAGCCCAUUCAUUCCUGUGAGCAGAAAGUCAUUUAACUCAUUUGGGAGGAAGCCUAUAAUCACAUUUUCUUUCCAGUGUUUCUCAUCAUUAGAUCUGUGUUUCCUAUUAUUUUUAUAAAAAGAUCCUUUCACUCCCUUUGUAUUGAUUUAUCUCAUGGUGUAUGGUAAGCAAGGUUAUAUGGGAGCUAAAGGAAAAUGCCUAAGAAACUGUAUAAGCCUUUAGAUUGCUUCUUACUUGGGACAAUACAUUUUUCUAAUUCUUAUGAGGAAUAACAAUUUUCACUUUUUUUUAAACUGCACUUUUGACCUUAUGUUUUUUUUAUGGUAUAUAAACAAUAAUUUAUAAACAUGAUAUAAAAACUCAUUGUUUUUUUAGACUUUUGAUAUUAUUUGAUACUGUACAAAACUUUAUUAAAUCAAGAUUAAAGACCUACACGGCAGAUUCCUCAGUGUUCACGUUAGCGGCUUUGUAUACAAAUAUGCUGUGAUGGAACUGUGUGCUCUAAUUUAUUGUGAAGACCUUGGGCAUGAAGAGGCCUACAAAAUGUAAAGCCUUUAAAGAAGACAUUUAACAUUAAAACAGCACAGAAGUACAUGGUUUCAGGCAACUGAGCAAGUUGGACAACAAAUUUGGUUCUAAAUUUUCUUGCUGCUAAAACAAAUGGUUUUGUAUUUCAAAACAGAAAAUUCAAAAACUUGUCACAAGAGGCUGGUUUUUUCUUAAACUAAAGAGAGGAUUACAUUGGACAUCUCCGUGAAUGUAAAGAAAAUGCAAAAUACAAAGGAAGGUCAUAAUAAUAAAUCUUAACCCAAUGAAGGCACAUCUUAGUGUGAUGUGGGAACACUGGUUUCUGAUCAGUUUAUCUGCCGGGGUAGAGCUAAAGAUCCAGGUGAUCGACAGCUAAGCCAGCCUGGGACUGCCGCAUAGGAUAUGCCUUCACUGAACCCUUGAUGGGUGUCAGAUCUCCUUUAUCUCUUAAUUGAACGUUUGGCAGUGUGCUACAGGAGGAGAAGGGAAUGAAACCAACAAACUUCAGGCAUUGUUACCAGCAUAAUGCUAAUUGUAUAUAUUCUCUCAUCUUUGAAGUCAGUGUGAAAACUUUGCAAAUUGUUUACUAAUGUGAAAGCCAUAAAUUUAGUAAUUUAAGAUAAAACUUAGCCAUCUUGUGGAAAUUAUUACACCCUUCACAGAGAGUAUAGUACCCAGUGUUAAACACAGAGAGAAAAAAUGUAGAUCUAGAGGAAGAAGAUCUUCAAUUCAGGAGCAGCAUUAAGUCCACCUGUGCAGGACUGUCAUCAUCACCGUCCCUCUGUGACAUCCCUGAUCCCAAAAUUAACACAAGAUGUCAACCCCCAGGUGCCGUCACAUGGCAGGAAACCUCUAAUCCCAACAUCAAAAGCACUAUUAUGAGUGAAGUUCUAUGUACCUUUUGUGAAGGGAAACACUCACUCCAAAGGUUUAACAAAAAGCAAAGGAUUUUCCCACAUUUCAAACCACAAAGAGAUCAAAAACAUUCCUUUGACUUAACAGCUUUUGUCAGUGUCUUUGUCAUGUUUCAGAUGAUGAUUAGGCAUUAAAAGAACCUCCUAAAUGUCUUCUGAACGUCUUUAUAGCUCUGCUGUUGUCUGAUGAGGAUACCUUCUUGUUUCAGGAGCGCCUCAGCUGAUGAGGCAGGACAGGAAAAGCCUAGUUGUGAUUACAGGAGUAAUUUCCAGCCAGAGAAGAGUAUGCUCUCUUGCAAAAUGGUGUCUGCUAUGUUGUUCAUAAUCAGAAGGAACCUUGGGAUUUGGGGGGGGGUGGGGUUAAGAUUCAAGAAGGAUGAUCUGGUCCAGUUUUAUUAAUGACAAGACUGAAGCCUAGAGAAGAGAAGUGAGCGCCCACGUCUCAGAGCUAGUCCAGCGCCCCUUCCUUGCUUCCUGCUGUCUCCCGCUUUAGCCGGCUACGUCUUUGGAAAGCUGUCUUUCUAAACAGCAACCCAGAUGUUUCACGAAAGCUUAUUAAUCACUCUCAUUUAAAAUGUAAUUUAUUCUACAAUAAUUCUUUUUCAAAGCAUUAUGUUUUACUUUGUUAUUCUACAAUUUUGUUGCCAUAAUUUCUUGGCACCUGCAAACUCUGUGAGACAAUUACUGUGAAUUCUUAAUAAACAAUUAACAAUUUGUAGCCUUGACACUAGACAGAAAGAACUUUCAGUGUUUUGCUUUUGUGAUCUUUUUGAAAUCUAAAGGAAACAAUGUAUACUCUAGAAAUUAAACACUUGUGUGCUGUAUCUCUUGAGUUUGGAGAAUGAUUUGAGUUCUGAGCCAUUAAAAUGACAAGUUGACCUCGCAUAUCAUUUUAGCUUUCUGCAAAAUCAGUUAUCCAUGUUUUAUGUACUUCUACUAACAGCAGAUUCAUCAUUCUGAAUUUGCUUUUCUUUGGCAACUUUUCCAUAUAUUUCUGUGAUUGGUUUAAUGGCUACAAAAGUCCAGGAAA